GACGAACGCUGGCGGCGUGCCUAAUACAUGCAAGUCGAACGCAUUUUCUUUCACCGUAGCUUGCUACACCGAAAGAAAAUGAGUGGCGAACGGGUGAGUAACACGUGGGUAACCUGCCCAUCAGCGGGGGAUAACACUUGGAAACAGGUGCUAAUACCGCAUAAUUCCAUUUACUGCAUGGUAGAUGGAUGAAAGGCGCUUUUGCGUCACUGAUGGAUGGACCCGCGGUGCAUUAGCUAGUUGGUGGGGUAACGGCCUACCAAGGCUGCGAUGCAUAGCCGACCUGAGAGGGUGAUCGGCCACACUGGGACUGGGACACGGCCCAGACUCCUACGGGGAGCAGCAGGAGGGAAUCUUCGGCAAUGGACGCAAGUCUGACCGAGCAACGCCGCGGGAGUGAAGAAGGGUUUCGGAUCGUAAAACUCUGUUGUUAGAAAAGAACAAGGAUGAGAGUGGAAAGUUCAUCCCUUGACGGUAUCUAAACAGAAAGCCACGGCUAACUACGUG
rnacentral:rRNA from 1 species